rnacentral:rRNA from 1 species
UACAGAGGUCUCAAGCGUUGUUCGGAUUCAUUGGGCGUAAAGGGUGCGUAGGCGGCGGGGUAAGUCGGAUGUGAAAUCCCGGGGCUCAACCCCGGAACUGCAUUCGAUACUGCCUUGCUAGAGUACUGGAGAGGAGACUGGAAUUUACGGUGUAGCAGUGAAAUGCGUAGAUAUCGUAAGGAAGACCAGUGGCGAAGGCGGGUCUCUGGACAGUUCCUGACGCUGAGGCACGAAGGUCAGGGGAGCAAACGGG